rfam:Medicago truncatula strain A17 chromosome 2, whole genome shotgun sequence.
AAGAGUAUGAGAUAUUGGUGCGGUUCAAUCAGAAGGGAGUGCUUUAUUAUUCUAAAGUUCUCUUAUUUGAUUGAGCCGUGCCAAUAUCACAUGUAACUAU